GUCUUCCUACCCAGCGCCGCGGCUCUCGGAGGCUGCCAGUGGCUGGGUGCGCCUGGCCUGAGUCCUCCACCCGAAGAAAAUAAGGAACCUGGCCAGAGAGAGGCAAAAGGAAGAGUCUGCUCCUCAUGUUCCUUCUUGCUGUGGUUUUACCCUCGCCACUUAUUUCGUGGUCAUUCAUUGGGAUGGUAUCUCUCUUCCUACCUUGCAGCUAUGCUGUGAAGAGUAAGAGGAAGUAUUCUGAAAAGUGCAAGGUCUUAUACUGAGAAAGGCACAGAAGCAACACUGCAAAUAUCACAAAUCUCCAGCACCGUAUGCUGUUACUCUGAGCUGGAUUUUUUGUUCUUUUGUUUGCAUAGAUUAUUCUGCUUUUAAUCUUCAAAAUCUGCGCAUGAAAGGGGACUGCACAGAAUUUUUUUUUUCUUUUUGAGAUGGAAUCUCAUUCUGUCUGUCACUCAGGCUGGUGUGUGCAGUGGCAAGAUAUAGGCUCACGGCAACCUCUGCCUCCCUGGUUCCAGCGAUUCUCCUGCCUCAGCCUCC
rnacentral:lncRNA from 1 species